rnacentral:snRNA from 2 species
UCACUCUGGUUUUCCUUCAUAUCUAGUAAAUCUUUCGCCUUUUACUUAAAGAUUUCCGUGGAGGAGAGCACUGAAAUGAGUAUGAAAAUAAUUUGAUUGAGCUUUUCUUGACAUUUCCC